rnacentral:ncRNA from 2 species
AUGAGAGCAGAGGGAGAGAGCGCAGGUGGCGCCGCCGAAGAAGAAAGCCACGUUGGUGAAACUUUCAGGCAAAAGGAUCUUUGCUUGACG